rnacentral:rRNA from 1 species
AUCAUUAACUGAAUCCAUAGGUUAAUGAGGCGAACCGGGGGAACUGAAACAUCUAAGUACCCCGAGGAAAAGAAAUCAACCGAGAUUCCCCCAGUAGCGGCGAGCGAACGGGGAGGAGCCCAGAGCCUGAAUCAGUGUGUGUGUUAGUGGAAGCGUCUGGAAAGGCGCGCGAUACAGGGUGACAGCCCCGUACACAAAAAUGCACAUAUUGUGAGCUCGAUGAGUAGGGCGGGACACGUGGUAUCCUGUCUG